rnacentral:rRNA from 1 species
GUUUGGUUAAGUUAGAAAGGGCGCACGGUGGAUGCCUUGACACUAGGAGUCGAUGAAGGACGGGACUAACGCCGAUAUGCUUCGGGGAGCUGUAAGUAAGCUUUGAUCCGAAGAUUUCCGAAUGGGGAAACCCACYAUACGUAAUGGUAUGGUAUCCUUAUCUGAAUACAUAGGGUAAGGAAGACAGACCCAGGAAACUGAAACAUCUAAGUACCUGGAGGAAGAGAAAGCAAAUGCGAUUUCCUGAGUAGCGGCGAGCGAAACGGAACAUAGCCCAAACCAAGAGGCUUGCCUCUUGGGGUUGUAGGACAUUCUAUACGGAGUUACAAAGGAACGAGGUAGACGAAGCGACCUGGAAAGGUCCGUCGUAGAGGGUAACAACCCCGUAGUCGAAACUUCGUUCUCUCUUGAAUGUAUCCUGAGUACGGCGGAACACGUGAAAUUCCGUCGGAAUCUGGGAGGACCAUCUCCCAAGGCUAAAUACUCCCU